rnacentral:lncRNA from 1 species
AUGUCCUGAUAAAUAACAGCUUGCCUACAAGAGCCAGAGAAAUUUUGAAAUGCAUGACAUUGUAGUUGACUUUCUGAGAUGCUAUUUCUGGCAAUUGUGAUGGUAAAUCCUUCAACAUUUGGAUCACUGAGUUCUUAGAUUUUCUUCCUUCUCUUCAGAAAUUGAAGUUGUAAAAUUGUUUGGGAAGUUUUAUCAGUUCCUGGAUGCAUUUGAAUAACACUGCCCAGAGGACCAAGUAAACUAUGUAGUUUGGAUGCA